UAACUAUCUUUUUUUUAAGAUGGUAAACGAUUAACCAUCAUUUUUAUUUUUAUUCAAUAUGAUACGGAAAAAAUUAGUUAGUUAAAUAAAAUUUUAAAAAGACUGUUUGAUCGACGAAAUAUUUUUAAAAUUAUUUUUAAAAUUGAUUUUGUCCAACAUGGCACCGCGAGUAAGUAGUGGGUGCUAAAUUAAAUAUGUAGGGAUGAUUCUU
rnacentral:lncRNA from 1 species